UACGUAGGGUGCGAGCGUUAAUCGGAAUUACUGGGCGUAAAGCGUGCGCAGGCGGUUCGCCAAGUCAGGUGUGAAAUCCCCGGGCUUAACCUGGGAACUGCGCUUGUUACUGGCAGGCUUGAGUGUGGCAGAGGGGGGUGGAAUUCCACGUGUAGCAGUGAAAUGCGUAGAGAUGUGGAGGAACACCGAUGGCGAAGGCAGCCCCCUGGGCUAACACUGACGCUCAUGCACGAAAGCGUGGGGAGCAAACAGG
rnacentral:rRNA from 1 species